rnacentral:rRNA from 1 species
UACGUAGGUGGCAAGCGUUGUCCGGAAUUAUUGGGCGUAAAGCGCGCGCAGGCGGUCUUUUAAGUCUGAUGUGAAAGCCCCCGGCUCAACCGGGGAGGGUCAUUGGAAACUGGGAGACUUGAGUGCAGAAGAGGAGAGUGGAAUUCCAUGUGUAGCGGUGAAAUGCGUAGAGAUAUGGAGGAACACCAGUGGCGAAGGCGACUCUCUGGUCUGUAACUGACGCUGAGGCGCGAAAGCGUGGGGAGCAAACAGG